CCUUGAAAUACCACCCUUUAAUGUUUGAUGUUCUAACGUGGACCCGUAAUCCGGGUUGCGGACAGUGUCUGGUGGGUAGUUUGACUGGGGCGGUCUCCUCCUAAAGAGUAACGGAGGAGCACGAAGGUUGGCUAAUCCUGGUCGGACAUCAGGAGGUUAGUGCAAUGGCAUAAGCCAGCUUGACUGCGAGCGUGACGGCGCGAGCAGGUGCGAAAGCAGGUCAUAGUGAUCCGGUGGUUCUGAAUGGAAGGGCCAUCGCUCAACGGAUAAAAGGUACUCCGGGGAUAACAGGCUGAUACCGCCCAAGAGUUCAUAUCGACGGCGGUGUUUGGCACCUCGAUGUCGGCUCAUCACAUCCUGGGGCUGAAGUAGGUCCCAAGGGUAUGGCUGUUCGCCAUUUAAAGUGGUACGCGAGCUGGGUUUAGAACGUCGUGAGACAGUUCGGUCCCUAUCUGCCGUGGGCGCUGGAGAACUGAGGGGGGCUGCUCCUAGUACGAGAGGACCGGAGUGGACGCAUCACUGGUGUUCGGGUUGUCAUGCCAAUGGCACUGCCCGGUAGCUAAAUGCGGAAGAGAUAAGUGCUGAAAGCAUCUAAGCACGAAACUUGCC
rnacentral:rRNA from 1 species